GAGUUAACGUAUGAAUAAUACGUGGCACACGGCUCAGUAACACGUAGUCAACAUGCCCAGAGGACGUGGAUAACCUCGGGAAACUGAGGAUAAACCGCGAUAGGCCAUAAUUACUGGAAUGGGUUAUGGCUUAAACCUAUAUGGCCUCUGGAUUGGACUGCGGCCGAUCAGGCUGUUGGUGAGGUAAUGGCCCACCAAACCUGUAACCGGUACGGGCUCUGAGAGGAGGAGCCCGGAGAUGGGCACUGAGACAAGGGCCCAGGCCCUAUGGGGCGCAGCAGGCGCGAAACCUCUGCAAUAGGCGAAAGCUUGACAGGGUUACUCUGAGUGAUUUCCGUUAAGGAGAUCUUUUGGCACCUCUAAAAAUGGUGCAGAAUAAGGGGUGGGCAAGUCUGGUGUCAGCCGCCGCGGUAAUACCAGCACCCCGAGUGGUCGGGACGUUUAUUGGGCCUAAAGCAUCCGUAGCCGGUUCUACAAGUCUUCCGUUAAAUCCACCUGCUUAACAGAUGGGCUGCGGAAGAUACUAUAGAGCUAGGAGGCGGGGGAGGCAAGCGGUACUCGAUGGGUAGGGGUAAAAUCCGUUGAUCCAUUGAAGACCACCAGUGGCGAAGGCGGCUUGCCAGAACGCGCUCGACGGUGAGGGAUGAAAGCUGGGGGAGCAAACCGGAUUAGAUACCCGGGUAGUCCCAGCUGUAAACGAUGCAGACUCGGUGAUGAGUUGGCUUAUUGCUAACUCAGUGCCGCAGGGAAGCCGUUAAGUUUGCCGCCUGGGGAGUACGGUCGCAAGACUGAAACUAAAGGAAUGGCGGG
rnacentral:rRNA from 1 species